AAAACUAAGCUAGCAAAGAUGACUGACCUGGAUAUCACUAGGUUGUCGGCGUCGGUCGAGGUCGAGGCUGUUCGUGGACACCACAAAACAGCUCUUGCUGUGUCGUUGCCCCACUGGCCGGUGGUGGUGUCGCUGCUACGGUACCACCGAGGCCAUGGCAGUCGUACGUGCGGCGUGCAUUAUUAUUGGAGGAGGACUGAAGGAGGUGUGUGGGCGGACAGCCCAUGCAUUAUUGGAGGACUGUUGCAUUUUGCUCACGGGCUGCCUUCUGCUUGUGAAUUGUCCUACAUAACUUGGAUCCAAGCUCACCGAUAUGUCUUCAUGAAUUAUCCUCAUAUUAUUCCAUUUGUCGAGUAUGUUGAGAACAUCUAAAUGAGCUAUCGAGAAAUACCAAGGACAGGACACCUCCACAAAGUCUUCCAGAGCCAUCGAAGAAACUAAGAAAGUUUCAAGCGCCACUUAAUAAGGAUGAUAUGGAAAAUAUAAAGUGUGGUAUGGAGAUUGGUCUGACAUCUCCAAAUAGUAAAAAGCUGGUAGCACUAGGGACUGUUCAGAAAACUGAUAGGAAAGCUAAAGCUAAUGAUGGUCAACCAUUGGCGGAUUACAUUGAGGUACUCGUCAGUAUUGUUUACAAACAAACAACCAUAUUGCCUCGUGCACAUGGGAAGAUACAGAAUCUGGGAAGUGCUACUGCUCGCUGCAUACCAUGGCCUCGACAAAAUAUCAUUUGUAGAGAUGGCAGUACUCCAUUGCACUCUAAGCAGGUUUGUAGCUCCAUUAGCAAAAUCACCCCGAACACGAUAGGAACUGCAGGACCAAAAAGGUUGACAUCAAAAGCUGAUGCUACAAGGUUGGACAAAGGCCAAGUUGCCUCACAGGAUUUGCUAGAAAAGAAGCAAGCAAAGAGGAAUGUGAGUAAAGAAAAAACAGAGCAACUUACAUCAUCCAAGUGUGUAGAGGGCCACAAAAGCAACAUACAUAUAACAACGUCUCUAUGUUAGUACAAUUAAAAGAGCAAUUGACAAGUGAGGACAACAGAUAUGUAUAUAGCUGGAUGUGGGCAUGUCAUUUCCAAGCAGAAAUAACAUAACAUUGAUGGCCAGUACUGUGGCAACAUAGUAUAUUUAGAUGGAUUUAUACUUACAUAUGUAUAUAUAUAUAGCUGUGAUGUGGACACUCUUAUAAAAGGAGAAAGAAACUUGCAUCAGGAAUGGGGACCUAGACAUCAGGACUUGGAACAUCAUUUGAAUUGACUACAACCUUAUUGAUUGUGUUUGGUUACAAAUAUAACUGUGUAUAGCCUGGAAGGUUAAAUAUUUGGAUCAUGUUGUUAAUGUGUAUUUUCAUUAGUUAAUUUCUCAAUGGAUGUUGCUGUUC